UUUGACUUGAGGGUGCUCCUCUGCAAUCUACCAAGGUGCACAAUUUGCAAAAUUACCUACUGCCUCCAAUCCCAGCCUUGUCCCAUCCAUGGGAUUCUCCGUCCUGUUCUGUCUGGGGCCUUAUCUGAUACUGGCAGGACCAUUCCCUGGUGUGUUCAGUUAUGAAGCUGCUCCAGGAUAUUAAAACUUCUACACUGCGAAGUUUUGAGCUGUCAGAGGAGCACAUUCCAGUGGUUCCACCAUGAAGUGACUGCAACAGAAGCCAAGAAAUCCUGCAGGUCAGCUGCCCAUGCUCAGCUGAGAAGAAACCAACACAGAGUUCAGCAGCACUGGCAGCUUUGCUCCAUGCACCCCUGUAAACUUGCUAAAGAAACCUUUCCAGAGCCUUCACCACAGCUGCAAAGCACAAACCCCACAACUGUGCUCUGCCAGAGGAAGAAAGUAAGAAUAUCCUAAGGGAAAAUUCACAGAGGAUCCUAGGAAGUGCUUACUUUCACCUCAGUUUGCACAUGUGUCUAGUAACAAAAUGACAGGUGAGCAAGCAAAAAAACUUGAUUUUUUUUAGGCAAUGUUGUUGUAGAUGAGA
rnacentral:lncRNA from 1 species